AACGCUGGCGGCAUGCCUCAUACAUGCAAGUCGAACGAGAAGCCACCUUCGGGUGGUAGGCAGUGGCGAACGGGUGUGUAACACGUGGGAACUUACCGCAAAGUGGGGGACAACAGUUGGAAACGACUGCUAAUACCGCAUACGCCCUACGGGGGAAAGCUUUAUGUGCUUUGCGAUAGGCCCGCGCUAGAUUAGCUAGUUGGAGAGGUAAUGGCUCACCAAGGCAACGAUCUAUAGCUGGUUUGAGAGGAUGAUCAGCCACACUGGGACUGAGACACGGCCCAGACUCCUGCGGGAGGCAGCAGUAGGGAAUAUUGGACAAUGGGGGCAACCCUGAUCCAGCAAUGCCGCGUGUGUGAAGACGGUCUUAGGAUUGUAAAACACUUUCAGUUGAGAAGAUGAUGACGGUAUCAACAGAAGAAGCUCCGGCUAACU
rnacentral:rRNA from 1 species